UUCUAACCGUAAACGAUGACAACCAGCGAUUAAUCGGCGUUAAUAUAUGACCCGAUUAGCAGCUUCCGGGAAACCAAAGUUUUUCGUUUCCGGGGGAAGUAUGGUUGCAAAGCUGAAACUUAAAGGAAUUGACGGAAGGGCACCACCAGGAGUGGAGCCUGCGGCUUAAUUUGACUCAACACGGGAAAACUCACCCGGCCCGGACACUGUAAGGAUUGACAGACUGAGAGCUCUUUCUUAAUUCGGUGGGUGGUGGUGCAUGGCCGUUCUUAGUUGGUGGAGCGAUUUGUCUGGUUAAUUCCGAUAACGAACGAGACUCUGGCCUAUUAAAUAGACGAUAUAUUUAAAAGUAUAUCGCGCUUCUUAGAGGGACAAGCGGCGUCUAGCCGCAUGAAAUAGAGCAAUAACAGGUCUGUGAUGCCCUUAGAUGUCCGGGGCUGCACGCGCGCUACACUGAAAGAAUCAGAGUGCGUUGAUACCUAGUUCGGAAGAACCGGGUAACCCAAGUAAAUUCUUUCGUGCUUGGGAUAGGGAAUUGCAAUUAUUUCCCUUAAACGAGGAAUUCCCAGUAAAUGCGGGUCAUAAGCUCGCGUUG
rnacentral:rRNA from 1 species